GGAGCAACAGCUGCAGUAAGGAUUAUUGGGUAAUACACGACACAGGCAGCCUAAAUUCCCAAGAGAGUUCUCACAACAGACUGUCUUUUGUUUCUGGAAGUGCCUGGAAAUGCGCUGAGGGCAGGAGAAGAGAGAGGGUCUCCACAGUUGACCGUCCUGGAGGAGAAGAGGUUAACUGCUCUAAGAGAUGUGGCUGACCCUAUCCUACAGGCUUGUCUGAAAACCUUUCCGGUGUAUUGAGGACCUUAUAAAUCCCAAAGUAUCCUUGGAACUUCUUUUGCAGUUUCCUGAAUUGAGCAAGUUUGGAUUUCUAUGAGAAUUGACAUGCAAUUACAAAUGGAUGAAUUUAUAAGGAAAAUGCAAAGAUAAAGAAGGAAAGCUACCUGCAUAGUAUAUAUUUAUCUACACUGCAUGCAACGAUGAAUAUGUCCAAGCUGGAUGUGGGGAUGGAAAUGCAAAUUAACGUCUUUG